rnacentral:rRNA from 1 species
UAUACAUGCAGUCGAGCGGACAGAAGGGAGCUUGCUCCCGGAUGUUAGCGGCGGACGGGUGAGUAACACGUGGGUAACCUGCCUGUAAGACUGGGAUAACUCCGGGAAACCGGAGCUAAUACCGGAUAGUUCCUUGAACCGCAUGGUUCAAGGAUGAAAGACGGUUUCGGCUGUCACUUACAGAUGGACCCGCGGCGCAUUAGCUAGUUGGUGAGGUAACGGCUCACCAAGGCGACGAUGCGUAGCCGACCUGAGAGGGUGAUCGGCCACACUGGGACUGAGACACGGCCCAGACUCCUACGGGAGGCAGCAGUAGGGAAUCUUCCGCAAUGGACGAAAGUCUGACGGAGCAACGCCGCGUGAGUGAUGAAGGUUUUCGGAUCGUAAAGCUCUGUUGUUAGGGAAGAACAAGUGCAAGAGUAACUGCUUGCACCUUGACGGUACCUAACCAGAAAGCCACGGCUAACUACGUGCCAGCAGCCGCGGUAAUACGUAGGUGGCAAGCGUUGUCCGGAAUUAUUGGGCGUAAAGGGCUCGCAGGCGGUUUCUUAAGUCUGAUGUGAAAGCCCCCGGCUCAACCGGGGAGGGUCAUUGGAAACUGGGAAACUUGAGUGCAGAAGAGGAGAGUGGAAUUCCACGUGUAGCGGUGAAAUGCGUAGAGAUGUGGAGGAACACCAGUGGCGAAGGCGACUCUCUGGUCUGUAACUGACGCUGAGGAGCGAAAGCGUGGGGAGCGAACAGGAUUAGAUACCCUGGUAGU